CGUAUUUUUAGAAAUGCUCCUCGAAUUCGACUACCGGCUGCUUUAAAGUAGAGUGCUUCCGGGUCAGGGCUCUCUCUUUCGCUCCGCAUCGGGUUGCAGCGAUGGUGAACGUCCCGAAGACCCGCAGGACGUACUGCAAGAAGUGCAAGAAGCACUCUACCCAUAAAGUGAGCCAGUACAAGAAGGGAAAGGAUUCCCUCUACGCACAGGGUAAGAGGAGAUACGACAGAAAGCAGUCCGGCUAUGGAGGCCAGACCAAGCCCAUCUUCAGGAAAAAGGCCAAGACCACGAAGAAGAUUGUGCUGAGGCUGGAGUGUGUGGAGCCCAACUGCAGAUCAAAGCGUAUGCUGGCCAUCAAGAGAUGCAAGCACUUUGAGUUGGGAGGUGACAAGAAGAGAAAGGUAGGUCUGCACACAGCCAUGUGGCUCAUACUCUGUGGUCAUGGUGGGCUAGGCUACAUCUAUAUCCACAUAACCUUAACUGUGUGGUAAUGCUAGGCUAAGCUACAUCUAUAGCAACUUUAACUUCUAUGUGGCAAGACUAGGCUACGUCUAUAUCCACAUGAACUUGUAUUCUGUGGUAAUCGUAGGCUUGGCUACAAAUAAAUCCAAAAUUGACUUGUAUUCUGAAGUAAUAAAAGGCUAAAUCUAUAAACUAUCUAUUACUGAUUCUCCGUGACGACUGACUAGUGUCCAUGCCGGACCAAAAGUCACUGAUGGAAUCAUUAUAUAUUGAGUUUGUGGGACCAAGGCUUAUGAUAAAGAGCUUCACCAAGGGUUGUGAAAAAACAAUGCUGUGGAAUCAUGUUAUCAACUCUUUUUCCCUGAUGGAAUUUUUAUAUAAUGCAAAAAGUUAUGCUGGUUUUCAAAGUCGGCUAUUAACUCA